AACGAACGCUGGCGGCAGGCCUAACACAUGCAAGUCGAGCGCGCCUUCGGGUGAGCGUCGGACGGUUGAGUAACGCGUGGGAAUAUGUCCUUCUUUACGGAAUCGCCCUGGGAUACUGGGGGUAAUACCGGAUACGUCCUUUGGGGGAAAGAUCUAUCGGGGUGGGAUUAGCACGCGUUCUAUUAGUUUGUUGUUGGGGGAAUGGCUUACCAAGCGUACGAUGGGUAGCCGGCUUGAGAGGGGGAACGGCCACACUGGGACUGAGAUAUGGCCCAGACCCCGACGCGAGGGAGCAGUGGGGAGGAGGGCACAAUGGCCGCGAGCCUGAUCCAGCGACGCCGCGUGCGGGAUGAUGGCGUACGGGUUGGGAACCUAAGUCUAUUGGGACGAAGAGAAAGUGACGGUACCUAGAGAAGAAGCCCCGGCCAACUACGUG
rnacentral:rRNA from 1 species